UGCUGAGGAGUCCCAUAAUAGGACGAAACGGCCGUUCA
rfam:Schistosoma mansoni strain Puerto Rico chromosome 2, complete genome